rnacentral:misc_RNA from 1 species
UUGAAUAAACUUGAACAGGUUGUUGCUGGCCUUUCUGGGGCAUGUGCACACUUGUCAUCUUUAUUUUCUCCACAUGUGCACUUAUUGUAGACCUGGGAUUUUUGUUUUGUUUGAGUAACAUCAAACAGAUUUUUUGAGGAUUUGCUUAUGCUGUCCUUGGUUGCAGGUCUAUGUUUAUUCAUAACCACUCAUUAUGUUUUGGAACGUUGAAUUUGGGUCUUUGUACCUAUAUAGUUGAAUAUA